GAUGAACGCUGGCGGCGUGCCUAAUACAUGCCAGUCGAGCGAACAGACGAGGAGCUUGCUCCUCUGACGUUAGCGGCGGACGGGUGAGUAACACGUGGAUAACCUACCUAUAAGACUGGGAUAACUUCGGGAAACCGGAGCUAAUACCGGAUAAUAUAUUGAACCGCAUGGUUCAAUAGUGAAAGACGGUUUUGCUGUCACUUAUAGAUGGAUCCGCGCCGCAUUAGCUAGUUGGAAGGUAACGGCUUACCAAGGCAACGAUGCGUAGCCGACCUGAGAGGGUGAUCGGCCACACUGGAACUGAGACACGGUCCAGACUCCUACGGGAGGCAGCAGUAGGGAAUCUUCCGCAAUGGGCGAAAGCCUGACGGAGCAACGCCGCGUGAGUGAUGAAGGUCUUCGGAUCGUAAAACUCUGUUAUUAGGGAAGAACAAAUGUGUAAGUAACUAUGCACGUCUUGACGGUACCUAAUCAGAAAGCCACGGCUAACUACGUG
rnacentral:rRNA from 1 species